UCGUGAGAUUUCAAUUUUUUUUUUUUUGAGAAAAAGGUAGCACGCUACCCGCUUUAUUCAUUUCGAUAAUGAACUUUGGCUACAAACAGUUAGACAACAUGGCUCGAGAAGAAAAAUAUAGCUCAAAGAAAGAAGAAAAAGAAAAGAGAAAUAACAACAAAAGUAAUCGACAGAUUAUUCAGCUCAACAAAAGUCCCUCCACUCUCUUACCAACUAAUUGAUAUGCUCGACUACGAAGAGAGGGCCAGCAAAGUGGUUUUUAAAAAUCGCGUUAUUUCUUUCUUUCCAGAUUAACCACCAGCACGCUACUACGGUAAUCAGAUCUUGCAGAAUCUCCCCCGACCUAAUAUUUCUGGUCAUUUUAAUCCAGAUUGUCAAUAUGUCCUCCAUAGUCUGUAAACACUGGAUGUCCUCCAAGGUUCG
rnacentral:lncRNA from 1 species